rnacentral:rRNA from 1 species
UACGAAGGGGGCUAGCGUUGCUCGGAAUUACUGGGUUUAAAGGGUGCGUAGGCGGCUUGGUAAGUCAGGAGUGAAAGUUUGCGGCUCAACCGUAAAAUUGCUUUUGAUACUGCCAGGCUAGAAUCAGGAUGAGGUCAGCGGAAUGUGGCAUGUAGCGGUGAAAUGCAUAGAUAUGCCAUAGAACACCAAUUGCGAAGGCAGCUGGCUAGACCUGUAUUGACGCUGAGGCACGAAAGCGUGGGGAGCGAACAGG